rnacentral:rRNA from 1 species
AUUGAACGCUGGCGGCAGGCUUAACACAUGCAAGUCGAGCGAGCGGCGGACGGGUGAGUAAUGUCUGGGAAAAUGCCUGAUGGAGGGGGAUAACUACUGGAAAAGGUAGCUAAUACCGCAUAACAUCAGAUGUGCCCAGAUGGGAUUAGCUAGUAGGUGGGGUAACGGCUCACCAAGGCGACGCUCCCUAGCUGGUCUGAGAGGAUGACCAGCCCAGCUGGAACUGAGACACGGUCCAUACCCCUACGGGAGGCAGCAGUGGGGAAUAUUGCACGAUGGGCGCAAGCCUGAUGCAGCCAUGCCGCGUGUGUGAAGAAGGCCUUCUGGUUGUAAAGCACUUUCAGCGGGGAGGCGUUACUCGCAGAAGAAGCACCGGCUAACUCCGUGCCAGCCGCCGCGGUAAUUC